AGUGAACGCUCGCGGUAGGCCUAACACAUGCAAGUCGAACGGCAGCACAGUAAGAGCUUGCUCUUACGGGUGGCGAGUGGCGGACGGGUGAGGAAUACAUCGGAAUCUACUUUUUCGUGGGGGAUAACGUAGGGAAACUUACGCUAAUACCGCAUACGACCUACGGGUGAAAGCAGGGGAUCUUCGGACCUUGCGCGAUUGAAUGAGCCGAUGUCGGAUUAGCUAGUUGGCGGGGUAAAGGCCCACCAAGGCUACGAUCCGUAGCUGGUCUGAGAGGAUGAUCAGCCACACUGGAACUGAGACACGGUCCAGACUCCUACGGGAGGCAGAAGUGGGGAAUAUUGGACAAUGAGCGCAAGCCUGAUCCAGCCAUACCGCGUGGGUGAAGAAGGCCUUCGGGUUGUAAAGCCCUUUUGUUGGGAAAGAAAAGCAGCAGGUUAAUACCCCGCUGUUCUGACGGUACCCAAAGAAUAAGCACCGGCUAACUUCGUG
rnacentral:rRNA from 1 species